GCAAGUUGAGGGCUGAAGGUUGGUACUUGUACCAACUGGAUGAGCAGCGAACGGGUGAGUAACGCGUGGGGAAUCUGCCUUUGAGCGGGGGACAACAUUUGGAAACGAAUGCUAAUACCGAAUAAAAACUUUAAACACAAGUUUUAAGUUUGAAAGAUGCAAUGGCAUCACUCAAAGAUGAUCACGCGUCGUAUUAGCUAGAUGGUGAGGUAACGGCUCACCAAGGCGAUGAUACAUAGCCGACCUGAGAGGGUGAUC
rnacentral:rRNA from 1 species